rnacentral:lncRNA from 1 species
UUCUUUUUCUUCUUCCUUCUGAAUCUCUUCAAAAAGUUGAUCAAACCAAGCACCGGUUUCCAUGUUUCAAUCAUAGGAAUUUUAAUCUCUAAUUUCUUGAAGAUCUCCAUACAGUACUUGAACUUCUUUUCCUUCUUAUGAUUUUUCUUUUUAUAAGGAGGGGGCUUUUCAUAUGAUCUGUUCUUCUUUCCUCUCUUCCUCUUUCUUAUUUUCUUUUUUCUUGUUUUCCUAUUUUUUUCUUUUUUCUCAACCACUGCUUUUUCUUCCUCCUCAUCUUUCUCUCCCUCACUCAACCUUUCUGCUUCAUCUUCCUCUAUUUUCUCCUCUUCUAUCUUUUCCACUUCUCUCUCCACCUUCUCUUCAUCAACAACCUCAUCAAUUUGUGUCUCCAAAUUCCUAAAGGUAACUUCAUUUCUCUUGCAAUCACACCUCUCUAUAAAUUUUUUGAACUUUUCAUUCAAGAUUUUAACUUGUUCUGUCACAUCAGCUAUUUGUUGACAAAGUUGUUGAUCAUACUCCCACGUUUCUAUUGGGGAAGAGCAUUGUUGCUGCCAUUGAUAAUGUUGCCUC